GGGGAUUUAGCUCAGUGAUGUAAGCACCUGCCUUGCAAGCAGGUGGCCGUGAGUUCGAUCCCCG
rnacentral:tRNA from 1 species